AACGAACGCUGGCGGCAUGCCUAACACAUGCAAGUCGAACGAGACCUUCGGGUCUAGUGGCGCACGGGUGCGUAACGCGUGGGAACCUGCCCUUAGGUUCGGAAUAACUCCCCGAAAGGGGUGCUAAUACCGGAUAAUGUCUUCGGACCAAAGAUUUUUCGCCUUUGGAUGGGCCCGCGUUGGAUUAGCUGGUUGGUAGGGUAAAAGCCUACCAAGGCGACGAUCCAUAGCUGGUCUGAGAGGAUGAUCAGCCACACUGGGACUGAGACCCGGCCCAGACUCCUACGGGAGGCAGCAGUGGGGAAUAUUGGACACUGGGCGAAAGCCUGAUCCAGCAAUGCCGCGUGAGUGAUGAAGGCCUUAGGGUUGUAAAGCUCUUUUACCCGGGAUGAUAAUGACAGUACCAGGAGAAUAAGCUCCGGCUAACUCCGUG
rnacentral:rRNA from 1 species